rnacentral:rRNA from 1 species
GUAGGGCGCAAGCGUUGUCCGGAAUUAUUGGGCGUAAAGAGCUCGUAGGUGGCUGGUCGCGUCUGCCGUGAAAGCCCGCAGCUUAACUGCGGGUCUGCGGUGGAUACGGGCCGGCUAGAGGUAGGUAGGGGCAAGUGGAAUUCCUGGUGUAGCGGUGAAAUGCGCAGAUAUCAGGAGGAACACCGGUGGCGAAGGCGGCUUGCUGGGCCUUACCUGACGCUGAGGAGCGAAAGCGUGGGGAGCGAACAGGAUUAGAUACCCUGGUAGUCCACGCUGUAAACGUUGGGCGCUAGGUGUGGGGAUCUUCCACGAUCUCCGUGCCGGAGCUAACGCAUUAAGCGCCCCGCCUGGGGAGUACGGCCGCAAGGCUAAA